AUAAUGGGUCAGCGACUUAUAUUCUGUAGCAAGGUUAACCGAAUAGGGGAGCCGAAGGGAAACCGAGUCUUAACUGGGCGUUAAGUUGCAGGGUAUAGACCCGAAACCCGGUGAUCUAGCCAUGGGCAGGUUGAAGGUUGGGUAACACUAACUGGAGGACCGAACCGACUAAUGUUGAAAAAUUAGCGGAUGACUUGUGGCUGGGGGUGAAAGGCCAAUCAAACCGGGAGAUAGCUGGUUCUCCCCGAAAGCUAUUUAGGUAGCGCCUCGUGAAUUCAUCUCCGGGGGUAGAGCACUGUUUCGGCAAGGGGGUCAUCCCGACUUACCAACCCGAUGCAAACUGCGAAUACCGGAGAAUGUUAUCACGGGAGACACACGGCGGGUGCUAACGUCCGUCGUGAAGAGGGAAACAACCCAGACCGCCAGCUAAGGUCCCAAAGUCAUGGUUAAGUGGGAAACGAUGUGGGAAGGCCCAGACAGCCAGGAUGUUGGCUUAGAAGCAGCCAUCAUUUAAAGAAAGCGUAAUAGCUCACUGGUCGAGUCGGCCUGCGCGGAAGAUGUAACGGGGCUAAACCAUGCACCGAAGCUGCGGCAGCGACGCUGAUGCGUUGUUGGGUAGGGGAGCGUUCUGUAAGCCUGCGAAGGUGUGCUGUGAGGCAUGCUGGAGGUAUCAGAAGUGCGAAUGCUGACAUAAGUAACGAUAAAGCGGGUGAAAAGCCCGCUCGCCGGAAGACCAAGGGUUCCUGUCCAACGUUAAUCGGGGCAGGGUGAGUCGACCCCUAAGGCGAGGCCGAAAGGCGUAGUCGAUGGGAAACAGGUUAAUAUUCCUGUACUUGGUGUUACUGCGAAGGGGGGACGGAGAAGGCUAUGUUGGCCGGGCGACGGUUGUCCCGGUUUAAGCGUGUAGGCUGGUUUUCCAGGCAAAUCCGGAAAAUCAAGGCUGAGGCGUGAUGACGAGGCACUACGGUGCUGAAGCAACAAAUGCCCUGCUUCCAGGAAAAGCCUCUAAGCAUCAGGUAACAUCAAAUCGUACCCCAAACCGACACAGGUGGUCAGGUAGAGAAUACCAAGGCGCUUGAGAGAACUCGGGUGAAGGAACUAGGCAAAAUGGUGCCGUAACUUCGGGAGAAGGCACGCU
rnacentral:rRNA from 1 species